rnacentral:rRNA from 1 species
UACGAGGGGGGCUAGCGUUGCUCGGAAUCACUGGGCGUAAAGGGUGCGUAGGCGGGUCUUUAGGUCAGGGGUGAAAUCCUGGAGCUCAACUCCAGAACUGCCUUUGAUACUGAAGAUCUUGAGUUCGGGAGAGGUGAGUGGAACUGCGAGUGUAGAGGUGAAAUUCGUAGAUAUUCGCAAGAACACCAGUGGCGAAGGCGGCUCACUGGCCCGAUACUGACGCUGAGGCACGAAAGCGUGGGGAGCAAACAGG